UACGGAGGAGGCAAGCGUUAUCCGGAAUUAUUGGGCGUAAAGCGUCCGCAGGUGGCUAUGUAAGUCUGCUGUUAAAGAGUCUAGCUCAACUAGAUAAGAGCAGUGGAAACUACAAGGCUAGAGUACGUUCGGGGCAGGGGGAAUUCCUGGUGUAGCGGUGAAAUGCGUAGAGAUCAGGAAGAACACCAGUGGCGAAGGCGCUCUGCUAGGCCGUAACUGACACUGAGGGACGAAAGCUAGGGGAGCGAAUGGG
rnacentral:rRNA from 1 species